GAUGAACGCUGGCGGCGCGCCUAACACAUGCAAGUCGAACGAUUAAAGCACCUUCGGGUGUGUAUAAAGUGGCGAACGGCUGAGUAACACGUGGGCAACCUGCCCCUCUCAUUGGGAUAGCCACGGGAAACCGUGGAUAAUACCGAAUACUUCGGGACUUCCGCAUGGAAGGCUCGAGAAAGCUCCGGCGGAGAGGGAUGGGCCCGCGGCCUGUUAGCUUGUUGGUGGGGUAACGGCCUACCAAGGCAAUGAUGGGUAGCUGGGUUGAGAGACCGACCAGCCAGAUUGGGACUGAGACACGGCCCAGACUCCUACGGAGGCAGCAGUGGGGAAUCUUGCACAAUGGGCGAAAGCCUGAUGCAGCGACGCCGCGUGCGGGAUGAAGGCCUUCGGUUGUAAACCGCUUCUAGC
rnacentral:rRNA from 1 species